rnacentral:rRNA from 1 species
AUGGCUCCGGCGAUGCCGAAGCAGCGCGCGGUGCAUCUCCCCGACAACGAGGAGGUUGCGCGCCUCCUCCUGGAGAAGCACCGGUCGAUGCUGGAAAAAGACAUCCCAGACAACCUGAGUCUCACGCUCUCCAACGCCUACCGCAACGUCUGCGCCGCCAAGGAGCCCAUCCGGACCCUCAAGGACCUGCUCAAGAUCAAGGGUGUUGGACCAUGGGUCAUCCGUCUCAUAAAAGAGUCCUUUCCAGCGUCCAGCCCGGAUUUAUCUCCUCCAAAAUGUAAAGAGAAAGGGGAAAAGGGGAAGAAAAUAAAAAGACCAGAGCAUAGUCCUGAACUUGUUUGCAGCAAUUCUGCUUCUAUGGCAUCCCAAGAACUGAUACAGUUGACCAGUCAAGAGCAGCUCAGUUACAGUUCUGAAGUUCAAACUACCGGUUCUGCUGAAUUCACUAUGCUAGACAAGGACACUGGUGGUAUGGGCAAUUCUAUACUAGCUAUGCCACCUCGUCUAUCCAAUGAAAAGUUUCUUGAAGCUUAUGAAGUGGUGUUGAUAUUGGAUGAUCGUGAAAUUUUUGGAUCCCGUGGCAAAAGAGUUGUUGGUAACAUACAUUCGAAGUUUCAUGUACCUGUAGAGAUAAAACGCCUGCCUGUUGGAGAUGGUAUUUGGAUUGCUCGUCAUAGAAGAUCUCAUACGGAGUAUGUUCUUGAUUUCAUUGUUGAAAGGAAAAGUGUAACAGAUUUGGUUAGCUCAAUUAGAGACAGCAGGUACAAAGAUCAGAAAUUAAGGCUAAAGAAAUGUGGACUAAGGAAGCUGAUAUAUCUGGUUGAAGGUGAUCCAAACCCUUUAGGCGCAUCAGAGAGCAUCAAAACAGCCUGCUUCACCACUGAGAUUCUUGAAGGAUUUGAUGUUCAGAGAACCACUGGAUAUUCUGAUACUGAAAACACAUACGGCCACCUGACACUCUCGAUAAUUGAUUACUACAGCACAAAUUUCUCAAUCGGUGCUAACACUUGUCGAGUUUGCUUAACUUAUGACGAGUUUGUGAAGAAGUGUUGUGACCCCAAGAAGUUAACUGUGAGCGACAUAUUCGCUCUACAACUUAUGCAGGUACCACAGGUGACAGAAGAAACUGCAGUUGCAGUUAUAGAGCUCUACCCUACUCUUGUCUCACUUGCUCGGGCGUACUCCAUGCUUGAUGGUGAUACCCCUGCCCAAGAGAAGAUGCUGAACAUGAAGAGCAAGAUGGUAAACACGGGGGCUAGCAGAAAUAUCUUCAAGCUUGUCUGGGGUGAAGGGUGA